CUACGGGAGGCAGCAGUGGGGAAUAUUGCGCAAUGGGCGAAAGCCUGACGCAGCGACGCCGCGUGUGGGAUGAAGGUCUUCGGAUUGUAAACCACUGUCGGGAGGGACGAAGCUCUGACGGUACCUCCAAAGGAAGCACCGGCUAACUCUGUGCCAGCAGCCGCGGUAAUACAGAGGGUGCAAGCGUUGUCCGGAAUCACUGGGCGUAAAGGGCGCGUAGGCGGCCUGGUAAGUAGGGGGUGAAAUCUCAUGGCUCAACUGUGAGGCUGCCUCCUAGACUGUCAGGCUUGUGCAUGGUAGAGGCUGGCGGAAUUCCCGGUGUAGCGGUGGAAUGCGUAGAGAUCGGGAAGAGCAUCCGUGGCGAAGGCGGCCAGCUGGGCCAUUGCAGACGCUGAGGCGCGAAAGCGUGGGGAGCAAACAGGAUUAGAAACCCUUGUAGUCC
rnacentral:rRNA from 1 species